rnacentral:lncRNA from 1 species
AUCUUCUCGAUGAGCAAACACUAGCGGUUCAGCAAACAAUAACUUGUGAGGGGGAAUAAAAUCUAGGUCUUGUGUCCUUUCUUGUUAUAUAUAUAUAUAUAUAUAUAUAUAUAUAUAUAUAAUUAUACGUCCUAUAAUUGCUAUUUGAUAGAUGGAAUAAUUUGAUUUAGUUUCUGUGUUUAUCCACCAUCUAAUACAACUUCUUCCCCACUGGCUUUGCCAAGGAGCAGAAUUUGGCUUCUUUCAGUCAUGCAGUCUGUGUUGCACUCUCAUGCAGUAUGAAUUAUUAGGAGAAGCUAUUUCUGGGAGCAUCUGCUACUUGGAAAUUGAGCUAGGAACAAAAUAGCCUUGUGUAUUACUGGGGCUGAGGAGAAUGAGCCAUAUAGUUCUGGAAAGACUAGUACAGUGGUACCUCGGGUUACAUACGCUUCAGGUUACAGACUCCACUAACCCAGAAAUAGUUCCUCGGGUUAAGAACUUUACCUCAGGAUGAGAACAGAAAUUGUGCUCCGGCGGUGCAGCGGCAGCAGGAGGCCCCAUUAGCUAAAGUUAAGAACAGUUUCAGGUUAAGAACGGACCUCCGGAACAAAUUAAGUAUUUAACCCGAGGUACCACUGUACUGGAGUACUAGUACUCCUUUUGCAACAGUACUGUAUGGAAGAUGGAGAAGUGCAGAUGAAGAAAAUCUAGUUUAGCCUUGCAAGAGAGUGUUUAAAAAUGUGUCCUUGAUCAAAGGUUUACUCUUCUGCUGUGGCAUUUAGUGAUCUCUCUCCCUUUUUAAAACUUCUUAGAUGUUGUCUCUGAACCUGAAAAACCUAUGUCAAGAGCUUCAGAUAAUACAGUCUCCAUGUGUAGAAUCUCUGUGCCCUCCAGGACCUCCUGGGCCACAGGGCCCGCAAGGCGUUCCUGGUGUGAAGGGACCAAAGGGGGAAAAAGUAAGUGCCAGGGUUCGUUUUUGAACUGUGAUAUGCAUUAGAUGUAAGGUCAUUUCGGACCUUUAGAUUAAUUACCAGGACUGGUAUCAGGUUUGAGGCAAGGUUCCCACCCAGCAAUCCCCUAGUGGCAUCCCCCAGUGGCAUUUUCCCAGAGGCAUUCUGGGAAAAUUAAGAUGCUUUGCUUGAAUCUUUUUGUUAUGUACUGAGCUGAAUCCUAGAACAAUAGGAUCCAGAAUGCAGCAGUCUGAUUGGUCUGCAGGAGCCACCCAAUCCAGCUCCUAGUGGAAGUGAGUCAGCAACCUGAUUGGCCUGCAGGAGCAGCCAAUCAGGCUCCUGGAUGAAGUGAAUCAGCAACCUGAUUGGCCUGCAGGAGCAGCCAAUCAGGCUCCUGGAUGAAGUGAAUCCAUAACCUGAUUGGCCUACAGGAGCAGCCCAGAAUUAGCCAAUCACGCGGGGCCCAUUGUGUAAAUAAUAUAUAUAUAGCUA